UUAUAGCUCAAUUGGAUAGAGUUUUGAGCUUCGAACUCAAAUGUGUAAGUUCAAAUCUUACUAA
rnacentral:tRNA from 11 species